rnacentral:rRNA from 1 species
AACUCUUAGCGGCGUAUCUAUAGAGAUCA